UCUGUGUCGGGCUGUGCUCUGUGUCGGGCUGUGCCGGGCUUCCGGCUGUGCUCUGCGUCUGGCUGUGCUCUGAGUCCGGCUGUGCUCUGAGUCUGGCUCCGGCUGUGUUAAUUACAAACAAGUACGAAAAUGUUUUACCUACUGCAGCCCUCAUCCUCCACAACCCUCUUAGGCCUCACUCCCCCCUAUCUGAGAUACCUACUGCAGUCCUCAUCCUCCACAUACAACACCCGUUCUGCCAGCCACAUUCUGUUAAAGGUCCCCAAAGCACACACAUCCCUGGGUCGCUCCUCUUUUCAGUUCGCUGCAGCUAGCGACUGGAACGAGCUGCAACAAACACUCAAACUGGACAGUUUAAUCUCCAUCUCUUCAUUCAAAGACUCAAUCAUGGACUCUUACUGACAGUUGUGGCUGCUUUGCGUGAUGUAUUGUUGUCUCUAACUUCUUGCCCUUUAUGCCGUUGACUGUGCGCAAUAAUGUUCGUACCAUGUUUUGUGCUGCUAACAUGUUGUGCUGCUACCAUGUUGUGAGGCUACCAUGUUGUGUUGCUACCAUGUUGUUAUGUUGUGUUGCUAUCAUGCCGUGUUGUCAUGUGUUACUGCCUUGCUACGUUGUUGUCUUAGGUCUCUUUAAGUAGUGUUGCCUCUCUUGUCGUGAUAUGUGUUUUGUCCUAUAUUUAUAUUUACCCUUUAUUUUUAAUCCAUGCCCGUCCCCGCAGGAGGCCUUUUGCCUUUUGGUAGGCCGUAAUUGUAAAUAAGAAGUUGCUGAUAAAAAUAAAAUAGCAGAGACUUACCCCGAUGCUGCCAGUGGCUUGCGGCUAUCAAGAAUGAUGCUUACGGUGACCAAAGAGCAGAAGGAUUUUCAGGCUGAAUGGAUGGGGAAUCCAUUUCGACAAAAGCUGAGAAGUGGUGCGAUACCAUCAUUUUCCCCCCUUCACAACAAAAUGGAUAAUUCUCGAUUAGGA
ensembl:lncRNA